UAUCUCUGUAGAGUCUGCAUAUCAAUAAGCGGAGGAAAAGAAACUAACUAAGGAUUCCCUCAGUAACGGCGAGUGAAGCGGGAAGAGCUCAAAUUUGAAAUCUUCAAGGUUUUACCUUGACGAAUUGUAGUUUAAAGAAGUGUUUUCUGUUGGAGUUUUGGUAAAAGUUCUUUGGAAUAGGACAUCAUAGAGGGUGAGAAUCCCGUAUUUGACCAUUAUUUCCAGCUUUGUGAUACACUUUCAAAGAGUCGGAUUGUUUGGGAAUGCAGUCCAAAAUGGGUGGUAAAUUUCAUCUAAAGCUAAAUAUUGGCGAGAGACCGAUAGCGAACAAGUACCGUGAGGGAAAGAUGAAAAGAACUUUGAAAAGAGAGUUAAACAGUACGUGAAAUUGUCAAAAGGGAAGCGUUUGACACCAGUGUUGUUUCUACGAAAAUCAAUUUAAGAUGGCUUGAUGCUAAGCUUUAAGACUUUAUCCGCUUGUUGUUUAGUUUUCUUGUCUUUGUGAAUGCACUUUUCGUGGAACAAGUCAACAUCAAUUUCUUUUGCUGUAAAAGGGUAAGAGGAAGGUGGCUUCGGCUUCGGUUGAAGUGUUUAUAGCCUUUUAUCUCUGCAGUCGGAGAGAUUGAGGUCUGCAGCGUAGACUCUUCGGGGUUAGAUACGUCGGUGCUAAGCUAUAGCUUUUCAUAGACAACUUGUUGACUAUGUUUAGUCAUGUGGCUUACCCGCUGGCGCUAUUUUACCUACGCUUAGGAUGUUGAGUCAUCACACAUCUCU
rnacentral:rRNA from 1 species